AGUUCUCCACAAGCAGCACGACAGGAGAGACUAACUCUCUUUACCUCUUUUCGGCGUUUUUACCAAACUUUACCCAACCACUGCAGAGAUGACUCGAGCGGGCCAGUUUGUCGGGAAGAAGGCUAAACCAGUCAAACCGCCACAUGGAGGCAUGCUGGGGUCGUUGACCAAAGGUUGAGAUGAGGAAACUGAAGAUGGAUUUGACUUUCAGAGCUUCCUCAUUGGAAAGCGCAAAUUUGAAGCUGGUACAGGCGAGAAUGGCAGACUGAGGGAUGCUAAACACCCAGGGCCAUGCUGGGUUCAAGAGCUGGUAUGUUUGAGAAGACUAAACACUUCAGAGCUUUCUGGACAAAGGUCUGAGGCCGCUGUGUUUCAGAUGCUCCUGAGACAGAGGCUGUUAUUAACCAGGACCUCACCGGGCGUCACAGCUGGUUGAUCCAUGACUCGACACAUGAAGAAGUAACUACAUGAUCCUGCUGGUGACCAACGACUGGUGAUCUAGUUUGUUUUAACGGUGACUUAUUCAAAUGAUGUCACUGGCUGAAAACCAAUGCCCUCGAGCCAACAAAACAAACCUUCAGUGAAGAAACAGCAGUGUUUACUGAACAAGGGUUUUUGCAAUAUUUAAGCUUUUGCAUCAAACUGUAAGCUUAUUUGUUGAAUAAACACUUGUUAUAUUCUA